GAAAGACAGUUCAUGGGAGAGAAAUAAGAUAAAUGAGCCCAGGAAGAUACAAAUAACUUUUAGAGUAACGCUCUGGAUAUUAAGGAUAUGCAUCCGAAGUCCAUUUCAUGGUUAAUCAAAGCAGCAGGCUGUCUUUUAAUAUUUGCCACCACCAAUAAAGCUCCAAGGAAAGGAAAAGUAAAGGAAGUCAAGGACCUACAUGUGCUUAUACUUGAGGAAAUAUUCACCUAUACACUAGAAUAUAGAGUUAAAACACAUAUAGGUCAGCUUUUUUUAUUAUGUAUAGAAGCUAUAUUACACUAUUUGCCUUGUAAGCAUUGUAAUUCUAAAAGUAUUCUUAUAAGUCUUAAUUUUUGAAGUGAAAAAAACCUGUAUUGACAAGCGUGUAGUGAUCAGCUUCAGAUUUCUUGUGACUUUGUGGACUUGCAUGUUGCUUUUGAUGUUCUCCUGAAUGUGUUGGCCUCCUCCUA
rnacentral:lncRNA from 1 species